AAACACUCAAAACUGUCCCUAUUACCCCAUUUGAUUGUAUGCAACUAUUUGUGUAAAAAAAUUUUAUAAACUCUCUGAGGAUAACCUGGAUCUGGUGAGCAAAGAUGUUUUGACUUUUGUUCAUAUGAUUAAAUGUUACCAGUCUACCAGUACCAGACAUUACCUGUAUUUGUAUUUCACAGCCACCGCUGUUGAAUAUAUGCUGCAUUACCUCUGCAGUCUGCAGCAAAGAAUUCUGUGGAUAUCUUGGCCACAUUUAAGUGCCAUUUCAUUUUUUAUGAUGUAUUACUGAAAAAUAAUCACUACACUAUUUGCAAUGAUUUUUCCAAGUUAAUAUAACCAUUCCUAGCCCUGUUGCUGUUUUUGGAUAUUUAUUUUUCAGCCUUUUGUUUGUUUGAAAAAUUAGUUUGUUACAAUUUUCCAUGGAUCAUUUGCCAUUGUCAUUCCAAUGCUUGCUACUUCUUAACCAGACAGUUUGCACUGUAUUCCCUCAAACACUAUAUUUAUCUGAAGUGGCAUGUUUAAUUUGCUGUGCUUACUGAGUUAACUUAUUUUUUCAACAAAUGCUAAUACAUUUAGCCAAAUCAGAAGCUGAAAGAGUUCUUCUCAUUGAGUUCCCUACUUGAUCGGUCAUGACCGACCAACCUGUGGCUGUAGGUUUAAUUAUUUUAAAUGAUGUGUUUUCUACCAUCUGAUGCACUUCUGUGUGUGCAGAGAACUGUCAUGAAGGUGAAAGAAUGAUAGAAGAAUUACACUAUCGUUUUAUUCCAUUCCUGUGUGCCUGAGACAGGCUCCUGGCCUCCCGCGGAACAUGAUAAGCCUCGUAUGGAUGAUGUAAAGGACUUUUCUUAACACAUUAUGGAAGCUCAAUUAAAUUGAAAUUAUGUUGAGUGCACGGCGUGAAUAAGUUGAAAGAUGACUAUGAUCAAAAUUUGAUUAACUUUUCCAUACAAUACGACAUUAAACUAAGAACUAGAAGGCAAUCCAUAACAGGAAAUGCUAAAUGCUCUCGCUUUUUUUUGGAGCCAAACGUGGCGGAACGUUUGCUUAGGCCUAACUAGACCGACCGUUUCAUUCUACGAGCAAGCGAGGUCUCUUGCAAACAUGAGUCGCUCUUCUCAAACACACGUGGAACGUUUGCGAAGCUCCAGUUAUUAUUGUUGGUGCAUUGUUGUUGUGGACUAUACGCUCAAUUUUUAAAAGUAUCCACAAUUUGAGAAGAACCUUGAAAAAGAUAAGUUUGUUUUUAAAAAUGCUUGAUUCGCGUAAUAUGAGUGGAAGGACGGCGGUCCAACAACUGAUGAGCAGAAGUUUAAUUUCAAGAAAUCGCUCGCAAUUUGUGCGAGAAAUGGAGCUGCGCAUGUGCAAGAGUCUGGUGGAGUUUGAGACCGAAAUGUCAGCCCGUAAUCGGAUAAUUAAAAUGGAAUUCAAUCACAACGGCUCGCGGUUGGUGCGGGUCCACAACGGUUUGGUUGAGGUUUAUGACCCGCGUACACGCCGUGUCGUUCACACCCUGCCACGGAACUUCUUUUUAAGCUUAAAAAGUAAAGUUUUCGAAUUUACGGAUGUCGAUCACGAACUUCUACUCGAGUGCUGGAGUGUGGAUGGAGGCCGACCAGAGUUACAGCUCUGGGAUGUGCGGUUUUCGUCCUCGCAUGCCGCUUUUCCAUAUCGGGAGAUGCGACGCCUGUGAGGUCUUUCAGUGAUACGUGGACACCAACGUUACAAGUUACGUGGUUCGGCUUGGCACCGGACGACAGCUGCCUUGUGUUCCAACCCACUCCUGAGAGCUUCCUUGCUGUACACAAUCCUUCUUUCGCAACCUUGGAAGAAGCUCUCAAACAGUUUGAGGAUGGGCGACUGAAGAUCUUUAGAGCCAGUGGUCCGAACCCAAGUGGUUUAGGAGUUAUGAACAAACUCACCCACAUGGUUCACGAUUCUAGGCUUACUGAACAUUUCAAAAUCUGUCCAAGAGGAAACUUCAUUAUCGGUGAUCCAUGCGAACCAUAUGAGAAGUUCAGGGUCUACAGCUUCGAUCACGAUGUCCCGACGUCCAAGUUUCAACAAAACCCACCGACUCUGAUCAGCACGGCGCAAUUUACUGCCUCCGGAGACCAAAAAUUUUGCAAAGCUCCAUUUAUUCUCAGUGAAACAGGCGAAAUCGUUGUCACGUACGAUAUCUCUGGAACCAUCGGCUUUUACCACUUGAGAGCGCCGGUAUUAACCGAACGUCCAAUAGAUUUGCAUCCCUUUAAUAGUUUCACGAUCGAGAAGCCGUCUGUAAUGGCAUUGAGUCCAAACUUAGACAUCUUCGUUACUGGUCAUGCCUCUGGCAUAGUGGUAUGGUAUUAUCCUAGACUUUAAACUAUACGUUCCACAGAUUUUGAGAAGGCGCACCAUAACAUUUCCGUGUAUUUCCACUCAACUGGCUGAGUACUUGGCAAAAAUUGAUCGGCUAACUGUUGGCAUUGAUUAGUUAUGCGUCUACUAUUUGAUUAAAAACAGUGAAGACAACCGAGGAAAAGGUAUUAAAUGCGGAGAAAAGUUGAGACUUUUUUUGUCGUAUUAAAUGUGGAGUUUCAUAGACUCAGAAUUCCCAUUUUUUAUCUCCUGUCUCUCUCUUGCGUACACGUCACGUGUAAGUCAUCGCUCCUUGACGUUUCUUUCCGCCUCUUGUGGAUAAUGAACUAUUUUUGCUUGUAUGAGAAAGUUUACCAGCUGAUGCCCUAGGAAAAAAUUAGGCCAUUAAACUAAACCAACAAAUUUAAAAAUUUGGAUCGUGUUCAUAAGCUUGUCAUGCCGUUCUAGAUGUGUAUCAGGAACUAGAAAUACAGCUUCGAUAAUAAGGUAAUAAUUGUUGGGCACGUGUCAAAACGGAGGCGAGUCGCUCUUUGCUUUGCUCUCCAUAUCCUCAGCAGCGGCCCAAACUGGCGGCCUCCAGCAGCCUGUACAAGCGAGGCUAUGGAAACAAUAAUUAAACUGUUUUUUUUAUCCGCCUAAUGUUAUGAAAAAAAAACUGAUAAGUUCA
rnacentral:misc_RNA from 1 species